GAAUGGAAUGGAAUGGAAUGGAAUGGAAUGGAAUGGAAUGGAAUGGAAUGGCAUAGGUUCAGUUCAGUUGUAAGGGGCCUUCAAAUAUCUAGUCCGACCACAGCUACACAUGAAAUGACAGCUCAAGGAGAAAAUGAAUGUAUUUUAAAGUGCCGGAAAGCUCAAAGAGUGCAUCUACUAAAUUGCAAAGCUCAGAAGACAUUGCUAUAAUACAGCUCAAACACCCACCUGCUGAACAGGGGCUUACCCCACUGACUGCCAACCAGGUCUUUACCAGCAUCAUGAGCUCACAGGACAUCUCCAAGCUGUCCAGACACAUCUCAGCU
ensembl:lncRNA